rnacentral:tRNA from 1 species
UGUUCUGUGGCGUAGAUGAUUAACGCACCCUGUCUAGAGAAUUGGGGACCCGUGGGUUCAAAUCCCACCAAAUCAA